GAUGAACGCUGACGAAUGCUUAACACAUGCAAGUCUUUGGCGAAGCUGUGCUUGCACAGCCUAGCCAGGCGGACGGGUGAGUAACGCGUAAGGGACUUGCCCUGCAGUCAGGGAUAACAGACGGAAACGACUGAUAAGACCUGGUAAAGUCAGGCGGACUCAUGUCCAGCCUGAUGAAAAGGAAUGCUGCAGGAGAGCCUUGCGUCCUAUUAGCUUGUUGGUGGGGUAACGGCCCACCAAGGCGAUGAUAGGUAUCCGGCCUGAGAGGGUGGACGGCCACAAGGGGACUGAGAUACUGCCCUUACUCCUACGGGAGGCAGCAUUGGGGAAUUUUGGACAAUGGGGGCAACCCUGAUCCAUCAAUUCUGUGUGCACGAUUAAGGUCUUCGUAUUGGAAAGUGCUGUCACCACGGAAAAAAAAAAUGACGGGUUCCUGCAAAAGAAGCGACGUUGAUUUACUUUGCCUGCAGCCGGUGUUGUACGUAUGUGCGCGAGCGGUAUCCGGAAUUAUUGGGUAUAAAGGGCAUCUAGGCGGCCCUGUGAUUCUAGGUGUGAAAACCUGCGGCUCUGCCUUAAGGCCUGCCCUGUAAUUACGGGGCUUGUUGUGCUUGUGUAGGUGGAUGUACUUGUGAUAUGAUAUUGUAUUUCUAGAUAUGUGUCGGGUAUGCUGAUGAUGAUGUUUGUGUCUGUGUGUGCUGCUGAUGUGUAGUGGUGAAAUCUUGUGAGGCAAAUGGUGAUAAUAUCCUGUUGUCCAUGGGAUAAUCCUGUGUGGUUUGUGUGUCUGUGGUGCCCGCCUUCCUGUGGAAAAAAUAUUAUGUAUAUAACUUGUCCUGCCUGUUGGUGUGCGUUGUGUUUUACGCACUGUGAUAUGUUGUUUGUGUGAUGCUGUC
rnacentral:rRNA from 1 species